CUAAGCACCUGUCUGCACCUCACAAUCAGUGCCAUCAAUAUUUAUACUGGACUCAUUCCCUUUGUUUAUUUGCCAGUUUGUCCAUGUUACUCUACCUGGUUGAUAUGCUUUGAUGCUGCCUUGGGGAGGAUUUUCCAUCUGGAGUUCCUCCAUCAUAGACCUGAUUCAGUGUACUUGCCUGUUUCUUGUUACCAGUUUUUCUGCCAGUCUAUCUACCUGCACCUGCCGGUAAGUCAUCCAUGCACUUUAAACUCCUUGGAUUACAUAAUUACCAUGGGUACACUACAUGAAAAUGGCUAGAAUUGUUAAGACGGCUGACAUUUUUUUUUUAAGAAAAAAAGGUUUUGCUUUUGUUGCAUUGUGAACAGCGGAGUGGACAUGAAAUAAGGGGUUAUACAUGGAAAACUAUGGCUUGUAAGUGUGUGAACAGGUGCCUAACAAAGCCACCUGUUAUGAACCUUCUACUCCUCGUGAUAACAGCUUUUUACAAAGAAUGGAGAAAAUUAAACAGCCAUUGCACGCCAGUGCUCCAUGUUGCAAAUAAGUUAAGGGACAUUCAAGCAUGUUGAUGUAUAGUGAGAUGGUGGACCAUAAAUCUAAACCUUUUUGAAAAUAUCCUGAAGAGAUUUCCAUAUUUUAAAAAUGAUAUUGAAUUUAUAUGUUGGAUGUGAGCUCUAAACUUGGACAAAGUUUCACAUUGUGAGGUUUAACUUAUUAGUGAGGAUGAGACCCAGACUGUUCUGAAUGGCUUGUUUAAAAUGUCACAGCAGCAUCGGUGUGGUCGAGUGGUUCAGUUGUGUGCCUGAGUCACCUUCUCACAUGACCUUCCUAAAUCUCUUUCUAUAUCCUGCUCUGUGUGCUGUCCUAUCAUCUCCCAAUAGAGUUAUUAUUAAAGUCUGAAAAAGAGAGAAUCAUGCAAGAGAGACACCAGAUAAGAUCAAUUUGUGAUGCCAUUAAUUGGUGGGGAAAAAAAACUCACAGGAGCUUUAACAGACUGAAACAUCCUGCUCUGUUCUCUAUUGCUGGAUUUUCUGUCACCAUUUCCUUUCAGAACUUCCUCAGAUUCAGAGUCAAAAACAUAGUGUAGCCACUGUCAUUUUAAAUCAGGAAGCACUGAUUAAGUCGAUGUCAACAACUCAGUAGCAUAGCACAUUGAAGAAAGCUUCUAGAGAGCAUGCCAAUCUAAAGAGAGUGGGUUUGUAUACUUCAAAUUAAGUGUUUUAGUCAAAAGCUGAGGGUGAGGUUGAGAACAAUUAAAAAGCUUAAACAGAGGUAUGAUGAUGACAAUGUAAAACCUGUAAAUGAGUGUAAUACCUCUUUUUUUUUAGUUUAUAAUAUUGAUAUUAAUAAACAAAUGUGUUCAUUAGCUUCAGAAAGACAUUGUUCCCGCUCAUGUAAAAGUUAAGUUGUUUUGUUUUAAACUUAACUGUCUAUAGAUAAACAAAGAUGUUGUGUGUUUACAUGGUGAACAGAAAUGUUGCAGGUAGACUCUGACCUUAAAGAGUUUUGCUCUUUGCUUAAGCCUUGUAUGAAAAAACAGCCAUAAAAGUAUCAAGAAUAAAAAAAAAAUUGCCAUCUUGUUCUCAUGCAAGAACGAAAAUAAGCAUAACAUCCAAAUGGUCAAUCUGUUCUUUGGAGUCUGUGUUUGUACAUUGGGUGCUAAUGUGUGUGAAACUUAAUACUCAUCAGGCCUCAUGUGUUUACUCUCCUUUCUGUUUGUGCAAGCAGAUUCCAGGACUGUUUAUUGCUCCCGUGAUGAUUAUCUCUUAAUAAGGAUGACAUUGGGAAUCUAGGAUGUGCAGGGCUUUUUCUGUGCUGCUUUCCUAGCAGCCAUGUUGGAAGGGGAGGGGAGAGGGGGUUGUCAUAAUGUGAUGUCCUGUUUUCUCAAUUAGGAACGAUGCCAGAAACUGAGGAGUGAGAGCGAAAAACAUCCAGGGUGAGUAACCCAUCUGUUAAACUGUGAUCUCAGAACAUUUUUAAUGACUCAUGCUGUCGGGAUGGUGUUCCUCCUCUUCCCAAAAGAAGCAUCCUAACUAUGAAAACGACCAAUUACAACUUUUUAUGACGUGCAAGUCUACUGAGCUGUUCUGGGGGAAAUGUUUAAGGGAAAUGGGUUGAAGCAGAGCUAAGGAGGUCAGACAGGGAAAAUGAAGCCACUGGAGGCAGAGAGGGAUUCCUACAAGUUAGAUAGUGGUUUUGUUUGACUGUGUAUCUCUAGUGGGUUAUAGUGCGGGAGACCAUAUGUGACGGGCCACCAAAAGGCAAAGCCAUAACAAAGGAAAAAGUUUAGCAUUAGUUUAUAAUUACAUUUUCCUUUUGAUAGAGGCCAAACUGAAGAAUCAAUGGUACCUCCUUUACACACAAAUGUAGAAAGUGUGUGUGAGAGUGGGUUACAGAGACGGGAGGGAGUGGGGUGGGGAGACUCAUUUCUGCUGCAGCUCAUUUUCUUGAAAUAUUUCACAUGAAUAUUGGCAGCAGUUGUGCUGCAGAAGACAAAAGGAAAUGAACCGUGGCUGCUGGAGCCAAAGACAACACACAGUGUGAGAAAGUCUCGCUACAGUUUCUGCUCGCAGCACAGUGAGACACAACCUCAAUCUAAGCUAUUAAAGACUGCCCUGGGAUAUACAGUAUGAAACACAUGGGCAAGAACAUGAGUAUGUGAAAGAAUAUGUGAGAUGAAGUGAGAGAGAAAUGGACGUCUUUUAUGGAGAACUUUAAAGCAAGAAACAGCUACAUUACAGGAGCAGAGUUUAUAAUUAUACAAAGACAAUAAGCUGUUGUCUGAAGGAUAUUGAAUUAAAGUACGCUUUUAGAAAUGUUUAUCUUGCCUCUGUUUCUGUCUUCCUAUUUCAGACCAGUUUGUUCAGCCGUUUUAGGCCACAGAAGUAAACAUUGCCUGAAAAGAAGCCUACGCUCGGCUACAAACGGUUAAAAGGAUCAACUGGGGUAAAACACAGAGGUGGGUGUUUAGAAGAAGAAGGACAGUAGGAAGGGAGGUGGUGUCUUACUGCAAGUGACACUGUAUUUGUGAACAAAAAAAAAAGCAGGAGAGUUACCACGCAGUGCUGUUGACGAGAACCAUGACUUGCAGCUUCCCAGGAAACAAUCCUCUGCUCUGACAUCACUGCGCCAACAAUGAGGUUUAUGUUUAUCUGUGUCUCUGCGUGUGUGAGUGUGAGUGCAGCUCUUCAAGUACAGAUGUACCCAUAUGCUUGCAUUUAAUCGUGGUGUCUCUUCCAUUGCUAUCCAUAAAGUUGACUUCAUGUAAAUUUGUGAUGCAUCAAAUUAUUUCCGUAUGACUGCUAAUGCAUGGUAAGGCAGUCCUCCAGUUUUGCAGAUGUUCAACAGCAGUGGAGGACUCAGACUGACUAAGGAGGGUGGCGUCAUGCAGUGGGACACCAGCAAGCAAAAAGCUGUGAUGGGUUAGUGGGGGAGCACUCAAAAACCCUGGUUGAGAUUUGAGGCAAGUGGUAAGAGCAAAGCAAUGAUGGUUUGACUAUAUUGUGCGUCUAUAAACUACAUCUUUACAACUAAAUGAUAAAACUAUCAUUUUGUGAGGCAGGUUUUAGUUCACUAUGAACAGCAAACAGGUAUGAAGAACAUGUUAUUUAAGAAAUACAGAGCAGAACUGAUUUCCCAGCGUAGGCAGUGCAAUAGACUGUGUAAGAAGACAUACAACACGGGUCAAACUUUUCAAUCAAAAUACAAAAAAAACCCAAAAACUAAUAUUUAUUUAUUUUUCUUAUAAAUGUUUUCGGUCAUUUUAGUUUAUUUUCACCAUGCUGGUGUUUAUCCAAAUAUUCACUUUGAUGAGAAGUUUAGUUUUAUUUAAAUUACAUGAAAUCGAAGUUUAUUGUAUUGGCAACGCUGUGAUGAAUGCAGCUCCUGCAGUGCUGUGUGCACCCAACUAGAGCAGAUGAGGAUUGAUAAAGUCAUGAAUGCUGACACAAGAGUCAUUCAACUUUUGGUUAUUUCUCUUUUCCUCUGUUCUGUCCUCAUGAAAAAGGAGGGAGGUGGAGGUGGAGCGUGCAGCCUAGCCUUAGCCCUGCACUCAACAGACUUCCCAACCUGGAUCUGCCUUCUUUAUAAUCUUUCUGAAAAACUCUCUAUGGACUGCUUUUCUCGUCCUUCUUUGAUUGUAUGUAUAGGGGUGUUCAAGGCCACUCCUAAUGAUGUAGUGGCUCUGUCUGCCCAUCAAUCUCCAUCUUUCUUCAUGUCUGGGUUGUGGAGGACAGUAGGGGCUUCCUAAUUUUUGAGUGGAGGAUGAAUGGGGAUGAAAGGGUGAGUGUUUAUCCUUUUUACUGAAGCACAUGUACCUUGUAUUUAUUUCAAAUUCAGCAAAAGAAGUUCAUGAAAUGUUGCCCAUCUUUCCCUGCACUAAUUUUCUCUAAUUGAAGGGUUCCUUCAACACGGGGUCAGAUGUAAAGAUUUGUUGUAUGGACAUGAAAACAGUCCAGUGACAUGUAUCAGCUGAAGUCCAGCAGACGACUAUCUGCAACUAACCAUCAUCCAAAGUGGCCACAUCCUUAAUUAUAGUUAAAACUAACUAAUUUCAGUGAUG
rnacentral:lncRNA from 1 species